AUUGAACGCUGGCGGCAUGCUUUACACAUGCAAGUCGGACGGCAGCACAGAGAAGCUUGCUUCUUGGGUGGCGAGUGGCGAACGGGUGAGUAAUAUAUCGGAACGUACCGAGUAAUGGGGGAUAACUAAUCGAAAGAUUAGCUAAUACCGCAUAUUCUCUGAGGAGGAAAGCAGGGGACCUUCGGGCCUUGCGUUAUUCGAGCGGCCGAUAUCUGAUUAGCUAGUUGGUGGGGUAAAGGCCUACCAAGGCGACGAUCAGUAGCGGGUCUGAGAGGAUGAUCCGCCACACUGGGACUGAGACACGGCCCAGACUCCUACGGGAGGCAGCAGUGGGGAAUUGUGGACAAUGGGCGCAAGCCUGAUCCAGCCAUGCCGCGUGUCUGAAGAAGGCCUUCGGGUUGUAAAGGACUUUUGUCAGGGAAGAAAAGGCUGUUGCUAAUACCGACAGCUGAUGACGGUACCUGAAGAAUAAGCACCGGCUAACUACGUG
rnacentral:rRNA from 1 species